rnacentral:rRNA from 1 species
AGAGUUUGAUCCUGGCUCAGGAUGAACGCUGACAGAAUGCUUAACACAUGCAAGUCAACUUGAAUUUGGGUUUUUAACUUAGAUUUGGGUGGCGGACGGGUGAGUAACGCGUAAAGAACUUGCCUCACAGCUAGGGACAACAUUUAGAAAUGAAUGCUAAUACCUGAUAUUAUGAUUUUAAGGCAUCUUAGAAUUAUGAAAGCUAUAAGCACUGUGAGAGAGCUUUGCGUCCCAUUAGCUAGUUGGAGAGGUAACAGCUCACCAAGGCGAUGAUGGGUAGCCGGCCUGAGAGGGUGAACGGCCACAAGGGGACUGAGACACGGCCCUUACUCCUACGGGAGGCAGCAGUGGGGAAUAUUGGACAAUGGACCGAGAGUCUGAUCCAGCAAUUCUGUGUGCACGAUGAAGUUUUUCGGAAUGUAAAGUGCUUUCAGUUGGGAAGAAAAAAAUGACGGUACCAACAGAAGAAGUGACGGCUAAAUACGUGCCAGCAGCCGCGGUAAUACGUAUGUCACGAGCGUUAUCCGGAUUUAUUGGGCGUAAAGCGCGUCUAGGUGGUUAUGUAAGUCUGAUGUGAAAAUGCAGGGCUCAACUCUGUAUUGCGUUGGAAACUGUAUAACUAGAGUACUGGAGAGGUAAGCGGAACUACAAGUGUAGAGGUGAAAUUCGUAGAUAUUUGUAGGAAUGCCGAUGGGGAAGCCAGCUUACUGGACAGAUACUGACGCUAAAGCGCGAAAGCGUGGGUAGCAAACAGGAUUAGAUACCCUGGUAGUCCACGCUGUAAACGAUGAUUACUAGGUGUUGGGGGUCGAACCUCAGCGCCCAAGCAAACGCGAUAAGUAAUCCGCCUGGGGAGUACGUACGCAAGUAUGAAACUCAAAGGAAUUGACGGGGACCCGCACAAGCGGUGGAGCAUGUGGUUUAAUUCGACGCAACGCGAGGAACCUUACCAGCGUUUGACAUCUUAGGAAUGAGAUAGAGAUAUUUCAGUGUCCCUUCGGGGAAACCUAAAGACAGGUGGUGCAUGGCUGUCGUCAGCUCGUGUCGUGAGAUGUUGGGUUAAGUCCC